rnacentral:lncRNA from 1 species
GAAAAGAAAGAAAAAAAAAUCAGCUUCUGGAGGGCCUCUGAACGGCACCAUUCUAAGGAAGGAGAAGUUGUUUUUGUUGAAGCAGAUCAGUGGGCGUUUGCUGGUCUCGUCAAUCAAGGUAUAUUCUUAGCUUUUCUUUUGAUCUGGUUUUGUGGCGGUGCUUAGUUGAAUGUUUAGAUAGAAGAAUAAUUAAUUUAGCUUAAUUAGAAUAAAAGAUAUAAUAUAAAAAAUAUUUUAAAUGACAAAGGAAAACAUAUAAAGGAAGCAAAAAUAUAAAAGAAAGAAAAUGAUGAAAAUAAACUGUUUAACAAUAUAUAUGCAAAAAUGGAAAAUAGAAAAAAAAUGAAUGAAUAUAUUUGAUUAUGUUAAUUUAUAUAGGUAACAUAGGAAUGAAUUAUAAAAAAUAAUAAAUAAAUAAAAUGAAAUAAAUAGAAUUAUCAUUUGUGGAUGGUAAACUUGUUUAAAGAAAUAGUUUUAUAAAAAUAGAGAGAUGAUGAAAAUGGAUUAAAAUGAACUCAAUACCGAUGAUGGGAUGAUUGGUCAGGACGCGAGGAGUCGCAAUCUCGAGCUAAUUUUUUCUAGGUUCGGAAUCCGAAUUAAAGCUCCACCAGUACGAUGGGAGGGCCUCGACAUUGAGAUUCUGAAAUUUUUUUUUAAAUAAAUAAAAAUUUUUAUUACAUUAAAAUUAAUAAAAAUUAAAAAUUAAAAUAUGUAAAAAUAGAUACUAUAUUUAAUUUGUUCAAAAAAUAAAAUAAUAAUAAUAAUUAAUUAAUUUCACAAGCAUAACAUAUAUUUCUAUUGCAUCAUGCAUACCAUGGCAUAUAGGUAUUUUUGCUCACGAGUUAAACCCCGAUGAUGGGAUUUAUUCGUCGAAUUUGCAAAGGCGAAUUUCUUGGAUAAUUCCCUAAGUGAGAGAACAUCCCAAAUCCCACCAGCAUGAUGGGCGGAUUCGAGAAAUAUUCUCAAUAAAAGGUGUUUGUUUGGCAUUGUCUCGAUAUUAUGCCAUGCAUUACACAAUUGCAUCACAUGCACGUCAAACUCGUAAAAUUAAAUAAAAUAUUUUAAUAAAUAAUAAUUAAGGGAACAUAAAAACAAAUCAAUGGGCUAGGAUAACGCAUGAUUAAAUGGUACCAUUCGAGGAACGGGCGUUAUAGGGGUGUUAAUCCUUUCCUAUGCGUAACUGUACUCCCGAACCCAAUUUUAAACAAUAGCACGUAGACCAGUUUAUCGUUCUUUCGACAAACUUAAAAUUAAUUUAAAAUCUCGUUGAAUAGAAGAAAUUCAUUAGGUGGCCAAUCACACCUAACAAAAAAAAAAGGAUUAGUGGCAACUCCCAAAUCACUCGACAUCUAGCGGUCGGGUUCCCGGACCCGCACGUUACAACAGGUAGUUUAGCUACAUGUAAUGGCUUUGUAGACCACUGAGAACUAAGACACUGGUGUUCUAAAAAGUGGUCAAUUACUUCCCAUCACUUAGUAUUUUAUGUUUUUUUUUCUUUUAUAACUAUAUACUUUAUAUUUGCUUAAUGAAAAGCGUGUUGUGGCUUUACAUGUCUUCAUGCAAUUGUUCAUAUCUUUCACGUGUUUUGGCUUUUAUUAACUCGGUGUUCCUUGUUCAAUUUGUUAACUCACUAAGUUCAUAUCUUUUUCAUUUUUUGAACAACCAUCCUUGAUAGCAAGAAUAUCAAUGAAGUUGGAAUCCUCAAUGCCAAUGGGGGAAGAAAAUGCCCCUUUAAUGAAUCCAUCAUGGUCUCUAAUGACACCCUUGAUGCCAGCAAGAGCUGGAUUCCCCAAAGCAAAGCCACAUCGAGUUUGAGAGAUCCAUUGAGGGGUCUCAUCCAUUUGUUUGAAGGUUUAACUUUGCACUUUCUUUUCUUAAAGGUAUUUUACUAGGUUCAAAGAGAAAGUGAGUUGCAAAAAUGUGAUUGAGAGGCCAUUUGCCCUUACACUAGUGAGAUAAUCUAACAAGGAUGAUAUCCUGUAAUUGGCUUGAAUCAAGACUUUUGCCUUGAAAAAGAAUAUCAUUCCCAAUUAUAUGAAUCACAAGUGUAGGAUUUAUUUAUCACUUCUCUAAUACUCCCCCUCAUGUGUAAAGACAACAAAUUUAUCACGCGAUAUGAAUCACAGAGAGAUUCAUGAAAGGGCAAACGAAUGAGGAUAA